rnacentral:rRNA from 1 species
GGUUGCGAUCAUAUCAACACUAAUGCACCGGAUCCCAUCAGAACUCCGCAGUUAAGUGUGCUUGGGCGAGAGUAGUACUAGGAUGGGUGACCCCCUGGGAAGUCCUCGUGUUGCAACCC